CAGAUCUUGUGGGAGCGAAACCAACGCCUGGCUCGGAGCAGCAGCCUCUGAGGUGUCCCUGGCCAGUGUCCUUCCACCUGUCCACAAGCAUGGGGAACAUCUUCGCCAACCUCUUCACGGGCCUUUUUGGCAAAAAAGAAAUGCGCAUCCUCAUGGCAAGUCUGGAUGCUGUGGGCAAGACCACGAUCCUGUACAAGCUUAAGCUGGGUGAGAUCGUGACCACUAUUCCCACCACAGGCUUCAACGUGGAAACCGUGGAGUACAAGAACAUCAGCUUCACUGUGUGGGACGUGGGUGGCCAGGACAAGAUCUGGCCCCUGUGGCACCACUACUUCCAGAACCCACAAGGCCUAAUCUUCGUGGUGGACAGCAACGACAGAGAACGUGUGAACGAGGCCUGUGAGGAGCUCAUGAGGAUGCUGGCCGAGGACGAGCUCUGGGAUGCUGUCCUCCUGGUGUUCGCCAACAAGCAGGACCUCCCCAAUGCCAUGAAUGCGGCUGAGAUCACAGACAAGCUGGGGCUGCACUCCCUAUGCCAUAGGAACUGGUAUAUUCAGGCCACCUGCACCACCAGCAGCGACGGGCUCUAUGAAGGACCUGACUGGCUGUCCAAUCAGCUCUGGAACCAGAAUUGAAUGCAACCCCCCUCCCGCUCACUCCUCUUGCCCUCUGCUUUACUCUCAUGUGGCAAACGUGCAGCUCGUGGUGUGAGUGCCAGAAGCUGCCUCCGUGGUUUGG